rnacentral:rRNA from 1 species
AACGAACGCUGGCGGCAUGCCUAACACAUGCAAGUCGAACGAGACCUUCGGGGCUAGUGGCGCACGGGUGCGUAACGCGUGGGAACCUGCCCUUAGGUUCGGAAUAACUCCCCGAAAGGGGUGCUAAUACCGGAUAAUGUCAUCGGACCUAAGAUUUAUCGCCUUUGGAUGGGCCCGCGUUGGAUUAGCUAGUUGGUAAGGUAAAAGCCUACCAAGGCGAAGAUCCAUAGCUGGCCUGAGAGGAUGAUCAGCCACACUGGGACUGAGACACGGCCCAGAAUACUAGGGGAGGCAGAAGUAGGGAAUAUUCGGGAAUGGACGGAAGUCUGACCGAGCAACGCCGGGUGAGUGAAGAAGGUUUUCGGAUCGUAAAGAUCUGUUGUAAGAGAAGAACGAGUGUGAGAGUGGAAAGGUCACACUGUGACGGUAUAGUACCAGAAAGGGACGGCUAACUACGUG